AGCGAACGCUGGCGGCAAGCUUAACACAUGCAAGUCGAACGAUGUAGCAAUACAUAGUGGCGGACGGGUGCAUAACACGUGGGAAUCUGCCUUUAGGUACGGAAUAACUCAGGGAAACUUGAGCUAAUACCGUAUAAAAUCGCCGGAUCAAAGAUUUAUCGCCUAAAGAUGAGCCCGCGUCAGAUUAGCUAGUUGGUGGGGAAACGGCCUACCAAGGCGACGAUCUGUAGCUGGUCUUAGAGGAUGAUCAGCCACACUGGGACUGAGACACGGCCCAGACUCCUACGGGAGGCAGCAGUGGGGAAUAUUGGGCAAUGGGGGAAACCCUGAUCCAGCUAUGCCGCGUGAGUGAUGAAGGCCUUAGGGUUGUAAAGCUCUUUUAGAUGGGAAGAUAAUGACGGUACCAUCAGAAAAAGCCCCGGCUAACUUCGUGCCAGCAGCCGCCGCGG
rnacentral:rRNA from 1 species